rnacentral:rRNA from 1 species
AGCAGUAGCCGCGGGAAAACGUAGGGUGCAAGCGUUAAUCGGAAUUACUGGGCGUAAAGCGUGCGCAGGCGGUUAUAUAAGACAGAUGUGAAAUCCCCGGGCUCAACCUGGGAACUGCAUUUGUGACUGUAUAGCUAGAGUACGGCAGAGGGGGAUGGAAUUCCGCGUGUAGCAGUGAAAUGCGUAGAUAUGCGGAGGAACACCGAUGGCGAAGGCAAUCCCCUGGGCCUGUACUGACGCUCAUGCACGAAAGCGUGGGGAGCAAACAGGAUUAGAUACCCCGGUAGUCCCUGUCUCUUAUAC